rnacentral:lncRNA from 1 species
CUCUUUUGCUCUUGAAAGAUGCCGAUAAUCAAAGCACACAGACCUGUACGUUCAGAGUACAGCUAAGUGGGUGUGCAGGAGAGGAAGGAGCCGCAUUGCCCAGUGAAAACUCAAGCUUCACGUUCAGCUUAGUGAUCUCGCUUCUUUGUGCAUCCAAAGUCAUGGAUGAAACGUUACUGAUUCGGAACAGAGACCUGUGGAAUGCCAUGAGCAGCACCAGGGCAGCACUGGGGCCAUGGCCACCCCCCACCCAAUGGUAU